rnacentral:lncRNA from 1 species
AAACAUAAGCAUUUUAAAUAUGGAGAAAGCAUCUCUGAAGUUAGUUUUUACUACGGCACUUCUUAUUGUUGCAAUAGGUUUGUGAAUUGUGACUCUAUCUCUCUCAUUUUUUCUUAUAGAACAUGGAAAAAAUGACCGCAAUUUGUUUGGGAAAAUUAUUGUUGUUAUCAUUAAAAAUAGGACAUGAAGGAAUUCGAGAAUUAAGGAGAAGAUUAGUAGGUAGUUGAAUGUGUCUCUUUUUCAUGCCAGUAAUAUUAGUAUUAGUCUCAUAUUUUCUUAUCCGCGAAAUUCUAUAUAUUAUUAUACGUUGUUUCUUUUGUUUCGAUUUUUUUAUCUUCUUAUUUUGUUGUUAUUCAUGAUUAUUGAGCCGAGUCAAUUGAAAAUAACUUUCUCUAACUUCACAAGGUAGGAUAAGAUAUGCGUACAUAUUAUUCGUCCUAGACCCCACUUUAUGAGAUUACAUUGGAUUUAUUAGUGUUGCUAUCGUUAAAAUGACUAAUGACAUUUAUUUACAGAUCUUCUAUGUUCUAAAGUGGCAGCUCAAUCAGAAUGCACAAAAGAUGAAGAUUGUGCCCAUAUGAGUGUAUAUCAUUGCAGACCUUUUUGUGACGCUUUUGAAGUUUGUGACUGUAUUCCCUAUACCACUCAAGAUCAUGGCAAUACAGAUACAAAUGGCAGUCCAAAUUUAUCCCCCGUUUAAUUUUGGUUUUCCUUCAUAUUUUCCUUAUUUUUCUAAAUAGAGAAUUAAUCAUAAUCCACCCUGAUAUUUAUUGAAUUUUGUAUACAAGGGAUAGAGAGAUUUAUGGAUUGUUCUGGUUCAAUGCAAAAUCACCUUCCCUCAACAUUACGCAAAAUUUGUAAACAUAAAGUUUAGACAAACAAAAAAGAAGGAAAAUAAGAAACUUCUGUUUUGCAAA